GUGUCUGUAGCCUAGUCGGUAAAGGCAGCACUCUAGCACAGCUCUGGUCGUGAGUUCGAAUCUCACCAGACACA
rnacentral:tRNA from 1 species